GACGAACGCUGGCGGCGUGCCUAAUACAUGCAAGUAGAACGCGGUUACGAACGGGUGAGUAACGCGUAGGUACCUGCCUCAUAGCGGAGGAUCACUAUUGGAAACGUUAGCUAAUACCGCAUACUGUGAGAUGGACCUGCGUUGGAGUAGGUAGUUGGUGAGGUAAAGGCCCACCAAGGCGACGAUACAUAGCCGACCUGAGAGGGAGGUUGGCCAACAUGGGACUGAGACACGGCCCCGAAUCCUACGGGAGGCAGCAGGAGGGAAAUUUUGGCAAAGGACGGAAGGCUGACCGAACAACGCCGCGGGAGGGAAGAAGGGUUUCGGAUCGUAAAGCUCUUUUGUGAGAGAAGCGGUAACUAAACAGAAAGCGACGGCUAACUACGUGCCAGCAGCCGCGGUAAUAC
rnacentral:rRNA from 1 species